rnacentral:lncRNA from 1 species
AGGGGUGAGCGUGGUUCCGGGUAGAACCGGGAACCGGAACCGAACCGGAGGAGGUUCCGGUUCGGUUCCCGAUUCUAAGGGGACCGGUUCCGGUUCCCGGUUCUCUUUUUCCAGGAACCGGCGGUUCCCGGUUCCGGAUCCGGUUCCCAUAGGAACCGGAACCUGAGGAACCGGAACCGGCGGCAAAGUUAAAAAAAUAAAAAACCCUAAUUCCUUCCACGCGAUUCCCCCCUCCCCCGCCCUUCUAUUCAACUUUCCCCCCUUUCCCUUUCUUUUUCUCUCUCUCUUUUCUCCACUUUUUCCUCCUCACGUCACUUCCUGCCCCCACUUUUUUCUUUUCCUCUCUCUCUCUCUCUCUCUCUUCUCUUUCCCCCUCUCUCGGCCGAACCCCCCCACCUCUUCUUCUUCUUCUUCCUUCCUCUCGCCGGUUGCUGCUUCACCCACCACCACACCGCCGCCCCACGCCCUACUCACCACCACCUCUUGGCCACCGAACCCCCACCACCCACUGCUCGUCCAACAAGCCGUCUCACCGUUGAGCCCGACGAGCUGUCUUGCCGUCCGCGCCACCGUGAGGCACCGCCGCCGUCCCUAAGCCACCAU